UACGAAGGGGGCUAGCGUUGUUCGGAAUUACUGGGCGUAAAGCGCGCGCAGGCGGUCUUCCAAGUCAGUGGUGAAAGCCCGGAGCUCAACUCCGGAACUGCCAUUGAAACUGUUAGACUUGAGGAUGAGAGAGGUGAGUGGAAUUCCCAGUGUAGAGGUGAAAUUCGUAGAUAUUGGGAAGAACACCGGUGGCGAAGGCGGUUCUCUGGGCAUUACCUGACGCUGAGGAGCGAAAGCAUGGGGAGCAAACAGG
rnacentral:rRNA from 1 species